CAGCGCCACGAGUGGGGACUGUAAUUAUUGGGCCUAAAGCGUCCGUAGCCGGUUCGAUAAAUUUUUUGUGAAAUUGUUGGGCUCAACUCAACACCGUGCAGAAAAGACUGUCAAACUUGGGACUGGGAGGAGUCAGAAGUAUCUUUGGGGUAGCGGUAAAAUGUUAUAAUCCUAAAGAGACUACCAGUGGCGAAAGCGUCUGACUAGAACAGGUCCGACGGUGAGGGACGAAAGCCAGGGGAGCAAACCGGAUUAGAGACCCGCGUAGUCC
rnacentral:rRNA from 1 species